GGGGAAUUAGCUCAGCUGGGAGAGCAUCUGCCUUACAAGCAGAGGGUCGGCGGUUCGAGCCCGUCAUUCCCCACCA
rnacentral:tRNA from 1 species